rnacentral:rRNA from 1 species
CAGCAGCCACGGUAAGACGGAGGAUGCAAGCGUUAUCCGGAAUGAUUGGGCGUAAAGCGUCUGUAGGUGGGUUGUGAAGUCUUCUGUUAAAGAUCAGGGCUUAACCCUGUUUAGGCAGUGGAAACUCAUAACCUAGAGUACGGUAGGGGCAGAGGGAAUUCCCGGUGUAGCGGUGAAAUGCGUAGAUAUCGGGAAGAACACCGACGGCGAAAGCACUCUGCUGGGCCGAAACUGACACUGAGAGACGAAAGCUAGGGGAGCGAAAGGGAUUAGAUACCCGCGUAGUCCCUGUCUCUUAUAA